GCCUGCCCAGUGACUCUGUUCAACGGCCGCGGUAUCCUAACCGUGCGAAGGUAGCGUAAUCACUUGUUCUUUAAAUGCGGACUAGUAUGAAUGGCACUACGAGGGUUAUACUGUCUCCUUUUUCUAAUCAGUGAAACUAAUUUUCCCGUGAAGAAGCGGGGAUAUAACUAUAAGACGAGAAGACCCUAUGGAGCUUUAAACAACCCAGCAAUUACUUCUAAAAUUAUAAAUUUCAGAAUAUCCACUUUUUAAGUUAUAUGUCUGCAAGUUUUUGGUUGGGGUGACCAUGGAGUAUAACAUAACCUCCAUAUUGAAUGAAUUCCCUUCUAAGCUAAAAAUUACCAAUUGAAGCAUCAACAUACUGACAUCUAUUGACCCAAUAUAUUUGAUCAACGAACCAAGUUACCCUAGGGAUAACAGCGCAAUCCACUUCAAGAGCCCCUAUCGACAAGUGGGUUUACGACCUCGAUGUUGGAUCAGGGUAUCCCAGUGGCGCAGCC
rnacentral:rRNA from 1 species